GUCCUUGUAGUUCAAUGGAUAGAACAGUUCCGUCCUAAGGAAUAGAUGCAAGUUCGAUUCUUGCCAAGGACA
rnacentral:tRNA from 1 species